CUACGGGUCGCUCCAGUGGGGAAUAUUGCACAAUGAGCGAAAGCUUGAUGCAGCCAUACCGCGUGUGUGAAGAAGGCCCGAGGGUUGUAAAGCACUUUCAAUUGGGAGGAAGAUAGAGUAGUUAAUACCUGCUUUAUUUGACGUUACCUUUAGAAGAAGCACCGGCUAACUCUGUGCCAGCAGCCGCGGUAAUACAGAGGGUGCAAGCGUUAUUCGGAAUUACUGGGCGUAAAGCGCGCGUAGGCGGAUUAGUAAGUCAGUUGUGAAAGCCCUGGGCUCAACCUAGGAACUGCAUCUGAUACUGCUAGUCUAGAGUGUAGUAGAGGGAAGGGGAAUUCCAGGUGUAGCGGUGAAAUGCGUAGAUAUCUGGAGGAACAUCAGUGGCGAAGGCGCCUUCCUGGACUAAAACUGACGCUGAGGUGCGAAAGCGUGGGUAGCGAACGGGAUUAGAUACCCCGGUAGUC
rnacentral:rRNA from 1 species